GACAGAGGUGCCAAGCGUUAGGCGGAAUCACUGGGCUUAAAGCGUGUGUAGGCGGGUCGUUAAGUGUCUUGUGAAAUCCCCCGGCUCAACCGGGGAAUGGCUGGGCAUACUGGCGAUCUUGAGCAGUUCAGGGGCAGAUGGAACAAGUGGUGGAGCGGUGAAAUGCGUAGAUAUCACUUGGAACGCCAAAGGUGAAAACAGUCUGCUGGGAACUUGCUGACGCUGAGAACACGGAAAGCCAGGGGAGCGAACGGG
rnacentral:rRNA from 1 species